rnacentral:rRNA from 1 species
CCCCUAGAUGUUCUGGGCCGCACGCGCGCUACACUGAACAGUUCAACAAGUCUUAACCUUGGCCGAUAGGUCUGGGUAAUCUUUGAACGCUGUUCGUGAUUGGGAUAGACCUUUGCAAUUAUGGGUCUUCAACGAGGAAUUCCUAGUAAACGCAAGUCAUCAGCUUGCAUUGAUUACGUCCCUGCCCUUUGUACACACCGCCUGUCGCACCUACCGAUUGAAUGGUCCGGUGAAAUCUCGGGACGGCGGCUUGGUCGCUUGCGUCCGACUGCUGAAACUUGAUUAAACCAUAUCAUUUAGAGGAAGGUGAANUCGUAACA